rnacentral:rRNA from 1 species
GACGAACGCUGGCGGCGUGCCUAAUACAUGCAAGUAGAACGCACAGUUUAUACCGUAGCUUGCUACACCAUAAACUGUGAGUUGCUAACGGGUGAGUAACGCGUAGGUAACCUUCCUGGUAGCUGGGGAUAACUAUCGGAAACGAUAGCUAACACCGCAUAACAUUGAUUAUUGCACGACAAUUGAUUGAAAGUUGUCAUAGGAUUACUACCAAAUGGACCUGCGUUGUAUUAGCUAGUAGGUGAGGUAACGGCUCACCUUGGAGACGAUACAUAGCCGACCAGAGAGGGUGAUCGGCCAAGCUGGGACUGGGACACGGCCCAGACUCCUACGGGGGGCAGCAGUAGGGAAGCUUCGGCAAUGGCCGAAAGUCUGACCGAGCAACGCCGCGUGAGUGAAGAAGGGUUUCGGAUCGUAAAGCUCGGUUGUAAGAGAAGAACGGGUGUGAGAGUGGAAAGUUCACACUGUGACGGUAUCUUACCAGAAAGGGACGGCUAACUACGUG